AUAUAUAUAUAUAUAUAUUUAGUGUAACCUAUGAUGAAAUAUACUGAAAAAGAUUUAACAAAUAAAUAAAUAAAUAAACUUUAAGAAGGUUUUGCUUGAAAAAAUAUUAAACAAGUGUUGUACAAGUGUCCUGAUAGAGUUACUGAAUACGUUUUUAAAUGAAUGAUCCAUUACUUAAAUCUAUGUUCUUUUUAGUAAUAUUUUUGUUUAUUAAUAGUUAAUCAAAAAGUAAAAAUGCAACAAGGGACUCCCAAACAAAUGGCUCUAAUAAGUUGGGUCUUUUCAGUGAAACAGCACACAACUAAAGCUGACUAACUUAUUGAACUCUAUUGGUAAUGAUGGAAUUUGCGACCAUAGUUGUUUUUGGGAAACGCACCGCAGUGUAGUUACUGACAGGUUGUUUGAUGCGUAGUAGUAAAUAUAUUUUCAGUAGUAAAUAUUAAUAAACAAAAUGUUACCACAUGUGUUGUUUAAUACUGUAAUUAGAUUAGGGCAAUUAUUUUAUUGCACAUUUAGUCACAUUUAGGCACAUUUUUUUUGUUUUUAUUAUCGCAUCAUUUGGAUUUUUCUUUUUGUACUCAAAUAUGUAUUCCUUAUUUUUCCUUAUCCAUCCUUCUCCUUAUUCAUAACCAUGAUGGUUAUUUCUAUCUUCUUUAUUUCAUGUAUUUUAUUGGCAUUUACUUAUUUUAAAUUUGACAUUUAAGCCAACUCAAAUCCAAACAUAGCUGAAUUCAGUUCAAGAUAUUGCUGUUAAUCAGUUGUCAUAAUAGUUGAAGGGAUACAUUAACAGGCAAACCUUACAUUAAUGAUGCCAUAGAAGAUAAUGAUUCCACAGCACAACCAUCUUACUUUUAUCAGCUGCUUACACACAUUUUCAAAACUUUGCCUAUUUCUUUUUUUUUUUUCAAAACAUUUCACACAAAUCCAAGAAAUGCACACACAAACUGCAAAGUGCCUCUCAUCUCUUGCAAAAUGAAGCAUUGCAUUCAAAAUAUAACAAUCACAUCUCAAAAGCAAACAUUUGCAAACACCUUUGCCAUAAUAUUAAUUCCUGUUAGAUUUUUGUGUUACAUAGUGUUGUGUUUUGCAAAAAGUGGCUAAGAAUUAGUGCAUGGUUUUGCAGAUUUGGUGUGUGCUGCUGGUGUUUAAAUGUGUCAGGUUUCAGAAAUUGUGGGACAAGUAAAGAUUCCAUGUGUAAGCAGCUGAGAAAAAUACACACACACACAC
ensembl:lncRNA